GUGCUCGCUUCGGCAGCAUAUAUACUAAAAUUGGAACGAUACAGAGAAGAUUAGCAUGGCCCCUGCGCAAGGAUGACACGCAAAUCAUACUACUCUAAACAUAAUAAC